GACGAACGCUGGCGGCGUGCUAAUACAUGCAAGUCGAGCGCAGGAAGUCAUCCGAACCCUUCGGGGGGACGGUGACGGAAUGAGCGGCGGACGGGUGAGUAACACGUAAAGAACCUGCCCUCAGGUCUGGGAUAACCACGAGAAAUCGGGGCUAAUACCGGAUGGGUCAUCGGACCGCAUGGUCCGAGGAUGAAAGGCGCUUCGGCGUCGCCUGGGGAUGGCUUUGCGGUGCAUUAGCUAGUUGGUGGGAUAACGGCCCACCAAGGCGACGAUGCAUAGCCGACCUGAGAGGGUGAUCGGCCACACUGGGACUGAGACACGGCCCAGACUCCUACGGGAGGCAGCAGUAGGGAAUCUUCCACAAUGGACGAAAGUCUGAUGGAGCAACGCCGCGUGAACGAUGAAGGCCCUCGGGUCGUAAAGUUCUGUUGUAAGGGAAGAACAAGUGCCGCAGGCAAUGGCGGC
rnacentral:rRNA from 1 species